UACGUAGGGGGCAAGCGUUGUCCGGAAUCAUUGGGCGUAAAGAGCGUGUAGGCGGCUCGGUAAGUCCGCUGUAAAAGUCCAGGGCUCAACCCUGGAAAGCCGGUGGAAACUGUCGAGCUAGAGUCCGGAAGAGGCGAGUGGAAUUCCUGGUGUAGCGGUGAAAUGCGCAGAUAUCAGGAAGAACACCCGUGGCUAAGGCGGCUCUCUAGUACGGUACUGACGCUGAGACGCGAAAGCGUGGGGAGCGAACAGG
rnacentral:rRNA from 1 species